rnacentral:siRNA from 1 species
CGCCUAUCUCGACCUGAAGUAGG